GAUAAACGCUGGCGGCAUGCCUAAUACAUGCAAGUCGAACGAAGGUGCUUGCACCUUAGUGGCGAACGGGUGAGUAACACGUAUCUAAUCUACCUUUUAGUGGGGGAUAGCCUUUGGAAACGAAGGGUAAUACCGCAUAAGACCACCAUUAUGGCAUCAGAAGGUGAGGAAAGACCCGUUUGGGUCGCUAGAAGAUGAGGAUGCGGCGUAUUAGCUAGUAGGCGGGAUAAUAGCCCACCUAGGCGAUGAUACGUAGCCGAACUGAGAGGUUGAUCGGCCACAUUGGGACUGAGAUACGGCCCAGACUCCUACGGGAGGCA
rnacentral:rRNA from 1 species